rnacentral:rRNA from 1 species
UGGGGAAUAUUGGGCAAUGGGCGCAAGCCUGACCCAGCAAUUCCGCGUGGGUGAAGAAGGUCUUCGGAUUGUAAAGCCCUUUCGGCGGGGACGAUGGUGACGGUACCCGCAGAAGAAGCCCCGGCUAACUUCGUGCCAGCAGCCGCGGUAAUACGAAGGGGGCUAGCGUUGCUCGGAAUCAUUGGGCGUAAAGGGCGCGUAGGCGGCCUUGUUGGUCAGGCGUGAAAUGCCCGGGGCUCAACCCGGGGACUGCGCUUGAUACGGCGGGGCUCGAGGGUGGAAGAGGGCCGCGGAAUUCCCAGUGUAGAGGUGAAAUUCGUAGAUAUUGGGAAGAACACCGGUGGCGAAGGCGGCGGCCUGGUCCAUUUCUGACGCUGAGGCGCGACAGCGUGGGGAGCAAACAGGAUUAGAUACCCUGGUAGUCCACGCCGUAAACGAUGUGCGCUGGAUGUUGGGCGGCCUAGCCGCUCAGUGUCGAAGCCAACGCGAUAAGCGCACCGCCUGGGGAGUACGGCCGCAAGGUUGAAACUC